GCAAAAUUGAAAAAGAUAGAACGUCAUAAAAUUCGAAAGCACUCAAAAAAAAGUGAUUUCCAGGUGCUACAAUAAGUUGCUAUUUUGGCAUUUUCUUUUAAUUAUUUAAUUCAAUUGGCGAAAAUUACAUUUUUUGUUUGUUUGCAUUUUGUUUAGGGGGGCUAGAACUGUGCCAUAACAUCCUAGAGGAACAAUUACUAUUAUAUCCGCAGGGUGUGUGGUUUCUUUUUUUUAAGGGACGACUAGAAUUCAUGAAGGGUAAUUUGGAUGAAGCGCAGUAUUGGUACAAAAAAUCAUGGAAAUCACAAAACGUCUGGACACAGUUCCAUCAUCUCAGUUUUUGGGAGUUAUUGUGGGUAAACUGUUUGAAGCUGGACUGGCGGGAGGCGAAAUUGUACGCCAGCUAUUUAGUGGAGCACAGCAAAUGGUCUCGUACGAUUUACUCCUAUCAGCAAGCGGCUGUAAUGCUAAUGAACGAAGAUCUCGACGACAAUGAGCUGGAAACCGUUGAGCCUCUAAUGCAUGAUACACCCAAGUAUAAGCAAAGAAUCGCCGGAAAAUCACUACCUAUGGAGAAAUUCAUUUGUAAGAAGGUGGCGCGAUAUUUUGCGCAAAAUCAUUACCUCUGUCUUCCAGCUGUUGAGCUGAUGUUUGUCUGGAACGCAUUCAAAGUGCUUAGCAAAAAUUAUCAGCUAGCUGACGCUCAAUGCUCAAGCAUUGUGUUUUUUAUUACGUGGCGCUUGCUAUCGACAAAUGAAGCAGCCAUUCCUCGCACUGCAGUAAGAUUUUAAUCGAAUCAUUUAUAAAAUUAUUCCAACAUUAACCCUGUCAUCUUUUAAAGAGAUCUUGAAGCGUGCAUGAACUUGCAAAGUCAAAUCAAAGAAGACACAUAUUUGAUGGCCUACGCCUGCGUGGAAUCGGGACUAGUGCAUGCAGACGAACAAAAUUAUGAAUUGGCUAUCACCACAAUUGAGGAAGCGAAGAAGAAAUACACUGGCUUUUCGCUGGAGUCACGCCUACAUUUCCGCAUACAUGGUGCGCUUAUGGAAUUUAAGGAAA